CAAGUUCUCUGAUGUUAGGUCAUUUAUCUUCACCAGGUAACAAGAACACAACUAGACAUCCUGACUGAUACACAUGUACACAUAUGAAGAUCAAGAUAAAAAGACUGAAAGAGUUUAUUACUCAUGAGGCCUGACUUACAAGAAUUGCGAAGUUGAAGUGAAAGAAUACUAGACAGCAACACCAAAACAUAUGAAAAUAUAAAGCUCU
rnacentral:lncRNA from 10 species